rnacentral:rRNA from 1 species
GACGAACGCUGGCGGCGUGCCUAAUACAUGCAAGUAGAACAGUUGCGAACGGGUGAGUAACGCGUAGGUAACUGCCUCAUAGCGGGGGAUAACUAUUGGAAAGGAUAGCUAUUACCGCAUAUGGUGAGAUAGACCUGAGUUGUAUUAGCUAGUUGGCGCGGCAAAGGCUCAACAAGGCCACGAUACAUAGCCGACUUGAGAGGGUGAUCCGCCACACUGGGACGGAGACACGGCCCAGACGUCUACGGGAGGGAGCAGUAGGGAAUUUUCGGCAAUGGACGGAAGUCUUACCGAGCAACUCCGCGUGAGUGAAGAAGGUUUUCGGAGUGUAAAGCUCUGUUGUUAGAGAAGCGUUAACUAACCAGAAAGGGCCGGCUAACUACGUGCCAGCAGCCGCGGUAAUUC